rnacentral:rRNA from 1 species
UACAGAGGGGGCAAGCGUUGUUCGGAAUUACUGGGCGUAAAGGGCGCGUAGGCGGCCUUCUAAGUCGAACGUGAAAUCCCCGGGCUCAACCCGGGAACUGCGUCCGAUACUGGAAGGCUUGAAUCCGGGAGAGGGAUGCGGAAUUCCGCGUGUAGCAGUGAAAUGCGUAGAUAUGGGGAGGAACACCGGUGGCGAAGGCGGCCACCUGGACGGUUACUGACGCUGAGAAGCGAAAGCAUGGGGAGCGAACAGG